rnacentral:sRNA from 1 species
GCCUUGUUAAGAACAGAAUGCUUGAGUUAUCUCAUUUGAUCGUUCACAGUUAGUUACAGAUCGAACUCCUUGUUCUACUACUUUUCCUCCCUCCUCACUACUGCACUUGACUAGUCUUUA